rnacentral:rRNA from 1 species
CAAUAGCGUAUAUUAUUGAUGUUGCAGUUGAAACGUUCGUAGUCGACUUUUGUAUGCUAAAGUACUGCAUCAUUGAUGAUGAUGCUGUAUUGUGAGCAUAUAUUGUGCAAGAGUGACAUAUGAUUCAUGUGUUAACUGUUGUACUUUACUUUGAGUGAAUCGGCGUGUUCCACGCAGGCAUGUGCCUUGAACGAUUUACCAUAGUAUAAAUAAACUAUGAAAAUCCUUCCCUACUUGUUGGGAGGCUUUUUCGAAAAUAACAAGAACGGUUGAGGGCAUUCGUAUUCGACUGCUAGAGGUGAAAUUCUUUGAUUAGUCGAGGACGAACUAUUGCGAAAGCAUCUGCCAAGGACGUUUCUUUUGA